rnacentral:rRNA from 1 species
GGAGGGUGCAAACGUUGCUCGGAUUUACUGGGCGUAAAGCGCAUGCAGGCGGUCUGCAAAGUUUCGUGUGAAAGCCCUGGGCUCAACCCAGGAAGUGCACGGAAAACUCGCAGACUAGAGUACUGGAGAAGUGGGCGGAAUUCCCGGUGUAGAGGUGAAAUUCGUAGAUAUCGGGAGGAACACCAGCAGCGAAGGCGGCUCACUUGACAGAUACUGACGCUCAGAUGCGAAAGCGUGGGGGGGAGCAAACAGGAUUAGAUACCCUGGUAGUCCACGCCGUAAACCGAUGGGCACUAGGUGUCGGGGGCUUGACCCCCCCCCCUUCGGCGCCGCCGCUAACGCAUUAAGUGCCCCCGCCUGGGGACUACGGUCGCAAGACUA